GUGAGUAACGCGUAGGAAUCUACCUAUUAUAAGGGGAUACCCCGGGGAAACUCGGAUUAAUACCGUAUACCUCCUUUGGGAGAAAGAGGGCCUCUCUUUGAUGCUCUCGCUACUAGAUGAGCCUGCGUAAGAUUAGCUAGUUGGUGAGGUAAUGGCUCACCAAGGCGACGAUCUUUAGCUGGUCUGAGAGGACGAUCAGCCACAUUGGGACUGAGACACGGCCCAGACUCCUACGGGAGGCAGCAGUAGGGAAUAUUGGACAAUGAGCGCAAGCUUGAUCCAGCCAUACCGCGUGUGUGAAGAAGGCUUUCGGGUUGUAAAGCACUUUAAGCAGGGAGAAAAAGUUAUAGGCUAAUACCCUAUGACCGUGAUGUUACCUGCAGAAUAAGCACCGGCUAAUUCCGUGCCAGCAGCCGCGGUAAUACAGAAGGUGCAAGCGUUAAUCGGAAUUACUGGGC
rnacentral:rRNA from 1 species